AACACUUCCUUUUCUACAAAGAUUCGGCAAAAAAAUGAGAAGCAUAUGUUGCAGAUAAUUUUUAUGAGCAAUUUUCGGAACGUUUACCUCACUUAAAGCGCUUGAAAAAUUCAAAGAGUUACUUCCCUUAGCUGAAUCUUUUGUGUAAACAAUAUGCAAUAUGGCGGCAAACUUGGCUGAUGAGCUCUGUGUUGAGUCUGUGACAACGGGGCUACAGUGGAACAGAGCUUGAGCUGACUGGGAAGCAGACUAGUCAUACAUCAGGAAAAGAAAACACUGUUGUACAAGACACAAUUAAAGAAGAUGGAGGCUCAUCUGUAAAUCAAGAACUCACAGUUCAUAGGAUACCUUCCAGCAGUUAUUCACAAUCAUCUGAUGGUGUAAAUCCAAGCACAAAUACAGAUGAUUUUGAUCAGAUUACAAGUGCGCAAUUGUCCAUUAAUUCACAAGGCAGCCUCUGGUUACCAAGCAGUCAAGAUACAUAUGAAGAAGAGGAGGGAGGUGAUCACCUAGAAAACAUGAAUAACAAGAGGAAAGCUCUAGACACUUUCCUGCAACGUUGUGGCCUAAGUCCAGUAAAGAAGCAACUCAGAACAGAUUGGAAUGAAGCAUCUGACCGUACAAAAAGUGAUUAUAUAUCAUCAGCUAAAUCAAUUUUUCAAGAGGUUGUGAAUGUCCUUGCACCAGGUCAAGCCUCUCUUCUGCUGGAUGCUUUAUUGAAAACUGCUUCAGAUUCUGCUGACACCAACAUACUGUGAUUUCUUUCAAAAGCCUAUAACCUUUCUACUGACUGGGGAACACAAAGACAAAUUUUGUCAUUAUUUGCUCAUUCAUACUCAGUGUUGCUAUGGUCAGAUAUAUAUUGCUAAGGAAAAAUAUGAUUUUUUUUUUUAAAAUAUUAAAUUAGUGUAAAAUGUAAUCAACUUAUCUAUUAAAAAUUUAUAUAAACAAUUUUUAAAUGAGUAUGAAGUUUAU